GCUCCCGAGGCUGCUGCCAACACUUCUGCCGUCGAGGACAAGAAGGCUGUCGAGAGCGAGCUCUUGAAGGA